AUUGUUCGCUGGCGGCAUGCCUUACACAUGCAAGUCGAACGGCAGCACGGAGCUUGCUCUGGUGGCGAGUGGCGAACGGGUGAGUAAUAUAUCGGAACGUACCCUAGAGUGGGGGAUAACGUAGCGAAAGUUACGCUAAUACCGCAUACGAUCUAAGGAUGAAAGUGGGGGAUCGCAAGACCUCAUGCUCGUGGAGCGGCCGAUAUCUGAUUAGCUAGUUGGUAGGGUAAAAGCCUACCAAGGCAUCGAUCAGUAGCUGGUCUGAGAGGACGACCAGCCACACUGGAACUGAGACACGGUCCAGACUCCUACGGGAGGCAGCAGUGGGGAAUUUUGGACAAUGGGCGAAAGCCUGAUCCAGCAAUGCCGCGUGAGUGAAGAAGGCCUUCGGGUUGUAAAGCUCUUUUGUCAGGGAAGAAACGGUGAGAGCUAAUAUCUCUUGCUAAUGACGGUACCUGAAGAAUAAGCACCGGCUAACUACGUGCCAGCAGCCGCGGUAAUACGUAGGGUGCAAGCGUUAAUCGGAAUUACUGGGCGUAAAGCGUGCGCAGGCGGUUUUGUAAGUCUGAUGUGAAAUCCCCGGGCUCAACCUGGGGAAUUGCAUUGGAGACUGCAAGGCUAGAAUCUUGGCAGAGGGGGGGUAGAAUUUCCACGUGUAGCAGUGAAAUGCGUAGAUAUGUUGAAGAACAACCGAUGGCGAAAGGGCACCCCCUGGGUCCAGAUUGACGCUCAUGCACGAAAGCGUGGGGAGCAAACAGGAUUAGAUACCCUGGUAGUCCACGCCCUAAACGAUGUCUACUAGUUGUCGGGUCUUAAUUGACUUGGUAACGCAGCUAACGCGUGAAGUAGACCGCCUGGGGAGUACGGUCGCAAGAUUAAAACUCAAAGGAAUUGACGGGGACCCGCACAAGCGGUGGAUGAUGUGGAUUAAUUCGAUGCAACGCGAAAAACCUUACCUACCCUUGACAUGGCUGGAAUCCUUGAGAGAUCAGGGAGUGCUCGAAAGAGAACCAGUACACAGGUGCUGCAUGGCUGUCGUCAGCUCGUGUCGUGAGAUGUUGGGUUAAGUCCCGCAACGAGCGCAACCCUUGUCAUUAGUUGCUACGAAAGGGCACUCUAAUGAGACUGCCGGUGACAAACCGGAGGAAGGUGGGGAUGACGUCAAGUCCUCAUGGCCCUUAUGGGUAGGGCUUCACACGUCAUACAAUGGUACAUACAGAGCGCCGCCAACCCGCGAGGGGGAGCUAAUCGCAGAAAGUGUAUCGUAGUCCGGAUUGUAGUCUGCAACUCGACUGCAUGAAGUUGGAAUCGCUAGUAAUCGCGGAUCAGCAUGUCGCGGUGAAUACGUUCCCGGGUCU
rnacentral:rRNA from 1 species